CUUUUUUAAACCUAAAUCUCACCUUUUCUGCUGCCAAACUUCAUUUCCUUCGUCACCGUUCUUCUCCUCCCGUUCUCCUGGUUUUGCACAAGCAAUAGAAGAGUUGGACUUGGUGGUGAGGUGACAAUUCUUUCUUUUGUUUUUUCAAAGAGAAACACAACAAAUAAUAAAAUGAAAUCGUGGCCAAACUCGGGGAAAGAUGAAUGUGAAUCACUUGAUGAACCGGAAGUAGAGGGCGUGUUGUUUUCUAAUAACAACAACAAUGAAGAUAUAGAUGCUUGAAGAAGAUUGAGAGUUAGAUUAUUUAUGUUUUACUUUUGUGUUGUAUUAAUUAUUAUGUAUGGAUGAUGAACAUGAGUUAUUUGUUUUGUUUUAUGGAAUUAUGUGACAUUGAAGUA